GUCGACGUGGUUGAGGCAAAGCUAAUUUUAUUAUACCAUCACAUUAUUUCCAUCAGAUUUUUCUUCAGGUAUGGAGGAUCCCCUGGGGACCAGGACUGUGGUGGAGAUCUUGGAUGAUGUAAACCAUCAUUUUCUCCUGAAGGUUCGAUGCUCAAAGUUCUGCUCAUCUAGUCAAACAAACGAGUUUCUCUGCCUAAAACUUGCCACCGAACCUCAGCUGAUCACGUGCGGGAUUAUAUUUAUGGCGGGAUGUUGCUCGCAGAGGUUUUAUGACGGACAGAAAGUCUGUACGCGCACGCAGACACGUUCGCGGACGCGCGGAUUGAAGGCAUUACUGCAGAUCUAUCCUCUUAAAUCUGAGUGACUUCAGCUCCAUCUGAGCAGAAUCGGCUGCGCGUCCUCAGGUCUUCAUCACCAUCAGCAUCCUCAUCACGCACGGCGGGACGCACGCACGCGUCGACCCAAAUUAAUUUAGUAGCGCAAUUAUCCGAAAAAUCCCCGAGGUGUUCCGCGGUCGGAAAUUAAUGAAGGAAGGGGGGCGAGGUGCGCUCUCCAAAGCGACAGAUGUUGGAAAAGUGUGUGUGAACGCGGCCAGAGGAGGAGGAGGAGGAAGAGGAGGCAAAGUGUCCCGCGCAGAGAUGAAGACGAACGGUGAAGAGGUGCAAGCGAUGUGCGCGGAAGCUUCAGCGGUUCUGUGGCCGACAGCUGUUCUGCGGACAAACCUUUCCCUGUUUGCUGCUAGCUUGGAUCUCUCGGGGCCUCGGCGUUGCAGCAGGUGCCAGAAGCUCAUGAAAAAGAAAAACACACAACAGUCGCCGGCACACAGCCACACGAGCUGGUAACAGUGAGAGCCACACACACUCGCAGGAAGACACAAGUCAUGCCCGCUGAUCCCUGCACUGUUAUUCUGUUCCAGCCGCUUUAAUUGGGGAUUUGAGCCAGCGUCUUUUCUCUCAGGCUGCGAUGAGCCUAAAAUAGCACUUUGACAAGUGUCAAAAAACUCAGCCGGGAUCAGAUUGUUCGUCUGUCGGAUGGGCCGGUUGGCACGGAGACCCAGAGGAGAGGAGGCUGUCACCCUGCAGGCCUGGAACAGACAAAGAAAACAUCUCUGUCAAACUGUCAGUGUUUCCACUAUUGAUGCACAGCUCUGUUGGAGCGAAGAGCAUCGUGGUAGGAUGCAGCGUGGUGCACUUCAGCAGGAAGUAGAAGAAGAAAAGAUUUUCUAGCCGUUAAAAUUUGUCUUUUCCCCAAUUUUAAACUCUCUUGUCCCUCACCGUGAAUAGAUUUGGGUGGCCUCCCGAUGGAGAGUGUCCCCUGACGUGUCCCUCAGGUGGAGACAAUGUCAUAAACUGUCCACUGUGGUCAAAGUUCAGUUGACACAAUAGAGUCAUAAGGUUCUUUAGCGCCUAAAUACCAUAAAAUAGCUCUUUUCCAAUCCACAAGAUACCGUGCAGUGCUCUUGUAGUGAAAAGGUUUCAAUCAAGUCAUCCUUUUCUUGACAACCCGACCGUAGCGACAUGAGGAGCCAGACAGGGACGACUGAAUCUGCAGCUGUGUGCAGUCGGUAAGAAGAAAGUCCUAAUUUAACUGGUCAUGGCAGCCAUCCACAGACUGAGGAGGUGAUAAGUUCUGCAGCUCAGAGUGUUGAUGAGGUCCGUCUGAUGACGCUGGGACGCUGUUGUCUCUAGGGAGCUGAGAGAUGGGUUGACCCAAAACGACAGCUGCCAGGACAGGAUUGUCUUUAAAAAGUGGUCAGACCUGACGCUGUCUGGCUGGUUGAGGAAGGAAAAGUGUCCCAAGAGUCUCAUCAGUGAUUUGCUGGACUAAAAAUGUCCGAUCAUUUCAAUAAAGAUCACUGCAGACUAUAGCAGUGACAAACAGCAGCUGUCCAGCUGUCAAUCAUGACGGAGGGGGCGUGGCCAAUCACGGCGGGGGGGCGUGGUCACGACUCCCGAUUGGGUUUUUACUGCUGCGUUUCUCAUACGUGGCCGGUGGAGCGGAGGGGGUACCAUCACAACAACCAAGUGGGUUCCUCAGAUGUGCAUCUGUUCAGACUUUUGAGGAGCACGACUGGAUAUUUGACCUAAUUAAUAUAAAUCCUGAGUGCACACGUAGUCAGAAACUCUCACCAGAGGAUUAACUCCCUGAACUGGUGUUAAGAGUCAUCUGGUCUGAGUGGCUGUAGUUGAGUAGAACUGUACGUGAGGCGUCUGAUGCAUGGCAGCAAGUAUAAGAGCGGUUUGUUCGGAGCAGCGAUGAGACGGACGCAGAAGCUCCUGGCCUGAGGACAUGGACAUGGUCUGAUGAUGACUGGACCCAGUCUGGUAACCACUUUCAUUUCCUGGCUCCCACUUUAGUUUAUUCUGUGUGUGCUGAGGUGUCUGAUGCAGGAACUGGUCUCACUGGUGGCUGCUGGGGACAAUUUAUGUCACAGACUUUCCCAGCAGCAGUUCAGGCUGAUGGAUUUAUUUCAUCAUGUCAAAUUUUAAUGUCCAUGUUUUGACCUUAAAACUCACAAAGACGACAGGAAGUAGUCGUUGGUUCUGUUUGUGUUUAGAAAAGUUAGAAUCUGAAUGGAAUUAAUGGGUCAAACAGACUCAUUCUGUCUUUAAUCGCGGUUUAAUUUAAUGUGCUACCGCACCUUUUCAGAUUUCCUGCCUUCCCGUCCCCCUCUCCUCUUCACACAGAAACUCGUUUCUAUGAGAUGCAGAAAAACUCAAAAUGAAUGAUUUAAAGUGGUGCAGAAAGGCUGCUCGGGAAUUUAAGAGCUGUUUGUUAAUUCAUUUUGGUUGUCCUGGCCUCUCAUCUGCUGAAUCACAGAUGGAAGUGAAGGAAGAGACCAGUCGGUGCUGCUGAUGUCACUUGUUGGUCUGAAGAUGCUCAGAAAUGC
ensembl:lncRNA